GUAUUCUGAAUAGGCCUGGUGGUACCGGAAGUGAUAAAGGUACUGGAGGUGGACCUAUGGUGCCGCCACCAGUCACCCCUGGAAAGAAAACCGGAAGGUGAAGAAGGCGAGGGAGGCAGAAACAAUACGGAAGUUACUACAACGACCAAGCGCCCCACGGAACCAGCGCCACCGCCAGCGAGGCGACCGAGACCGGGAGGAGGUGGCAUGACGGAUGCACAGAGAAGGGCCGAGGAGGCAAGGCGAAGACGGGAGGAGCGAAGGAGGCAGUUAGAAGAGAAACGAAAACAGCGAGAACGUGGACGUGCUCGUGGGCUCAGGCCAAACUGCGGAGUGAGGCCACGAAAGAGAAAAGCGUGCGAAGAACAUGUGGACAAAUGGUGGUUUGAAGGUCCUUUCAGAACUUGCCAUAUAGUCAAGGAAGGGCAAUGCCCAAACCAUGGCGCAUUCUUUGAUAGCUGUGAGGAGUGCAUGGACCGAUGCAACCGAAGGGAUACAUGGAGGUGCGCAUACAUUGAGCGAAGGCUGCGUGAGCAACGUGGAAUCUGACCAACGAACCUGGCUGCUGCGUUUUCGGCGGAUGCGUGUAACUUUCAAGAAGAUUUUUAAGGAAUAAAUAAACUGCGUGGUAUAC
rnacentral:lncRNA from 1 species